ensembl:lncRNA
AUUGUGUCUAUCCCGGACAUCGUAGACGAAAUCAGGUUUCUGAACAAGGCAAGCGGUACGUGCGUUGUUAUUCUUUAUAAUUGUUCGAUCCUAUGUAUGAUGUGUAUGUGUUUAAUACUUUUACUUCUUUUUUCACAAAGGGUCGAACACAGAAGUCCCGCGAGUCAGGUUUGAAAACCCCGUGCUGGGCUUGUCAAAUCUUGUAGACAAGAUCGCUGCACCCGAGUUCAAAAAUAGUGCUGCGGUCUCCACUGAACUCGGUAUACCAACGAACUCUGGAAAGGCCAAGCGUAAAACAGUCGCUCAGGUCCACAGCGCGGGUGUCGCUACGUCUAAACGUAAACGAUCAAGAUCUCCCCCACGAUCGACAGAAGAGUCAUCUGUGAAUGAACCGAGCGCUAUAGACUCGUGUUUGAAUUGGAAUCAGGAGCUGUUAGAUUCGUGGGACGCAUGUGUAUUUACCCCGGUUCCCGGAGACGAUCUGCCUUCAAACCAAGAAGCAUUUGGUCGCGAGGCUACUGAUGUUAUAGACAAUAACAGAGACUCGGCGGAGGUGAUACGAACCGGGUUCAAGGCCGUCGAGGACCGUAUUGCUGGUUUUGAAAA